rnacentral:rRNA from 1 species
CCUAUUUAAAAUGGCGGCAUUUAAUCUUAUUAGAGGAACUUGUUUAUUAAUCGAUAAUCCACGUUAAAUUUUACUUUAAUCAUAAAUUUAUAUACCGCCGUCUUAAGAAUUAAUUAAUUUAAUAUUUUUCUUAAUAUAACCCUAAAAAGUUAGGUCAAGGUGUAAUUAAUAUUAAAGAAUAUAAUGAGUUACUUUAAAAACAAUUUAAGGAUAUUUUAUUAAAAUAAAAUUUGAAAAAGAAUUUAUAAGUACUUAUUAAUUUAAUAAAUAAUAUUAUAUAAAGAAUAAGAUAAAAAAUGUGUACACAUCGCCCGUCGCUCUUA